UUCGGCUUCGGCCAGAUAGGC
rnacentral:misc_RNA from 1 species